CCUACGGGUGGCAGCAGUAGGGAAUCUUCGGCAAUGGACGAAAGUCUGACCGAGCAACGCCGCGUGAGUGAAGAAGGUCUUCGGAUCGUAAACCUCUGUCAGCAGGGAAGAACGGUCACUGUGCUAAUCAGCAGUGAAUUGACGGUACCUGCAAAGGAAGCACCGGCUAACUCCGUGCCAGCAGCCGCGGUAAUACGGAGGGUGCGAGCGUUAAUCGGAAUUACUGGGCGUAAAGCGCUCGUAGGCGGUAUGUCAAGUCAAGGGUGAAAUCCCCGCGCUCAACGUGGGAACUGCCUUGGAAACUGGCAAACUGGAGUGUGUGAGAGGAUAGUGGAAUUCCAGGUGUAGGAGUGAAAUCCGUAGAUAUCUGGAGGAACAUCAGUGGCGAAGGCGACUAUCUGGCACAUAACUGACGCUGAGGAGCGAAAGCGUGGGUAGCAAACAGGAUUAGAUACCCGAGUAGUC
rnacentral:rRNA from 1 species